rnacentral:rRNA from 1 species
CCUACGGGGGGCAGCAGUAGGGAAUAUUGCUCAAUGGGGGAAACCCUGAAGCAGCAACGCCGCGUGGGGGAUGAAGGUCCUCGGAGUGUAAACCCCUUUUGGUAGAGAAGAAAAUGACGGUACCUAACGAAUAAGCACCGGCUAACUACGUGCCAGCAGCCGCGGUAAUACGGAGGGGGCAAGCGUUAUUCGGAAUCACUGGGCGUAAAGGGGGCGUAGGCGGGUUUGCAAGUCAGAUGUGAAAUCCUUGGGCUUAACCAUAGAACUGCAUUUGAAACUGGUGUGCUAGAGUAUGGGAGAGGUAGGUGGAAUUCUUGGUGUAGCGGUGAAAUCCGUAGAGAUCAGGAAGAACACUGAUUGCGAAGGCGGCCUGCUGGAACAAAACUGACGCUGAUGCACGAAAGCGUGGGGAGCAAACAGGAUUAGAUACCCCUGUAGUC